rnacentral:rRNA from 1 species
UACGUAGGGUCCGAGCGUUGUCCGGAAUUACUGGGCGUAAAGAGCUCGUAGGUGGUUUGUCGCGUUGUUCGUGAAAACUCACAGCUUAACUGUGGGCGUGCGGGCGAUACGGGCAGACUGGAGUACUGCAGGGGAGACUGGAAUUCCUGGUGUAGCGGUGAAAUGCGCAGAUAUCAGGAGGAACACCGGUGGCGAAGGCGGGUCUCUGGGCCGUAACUGACGCUGAGGAGCGAAAGCGUGGGGAGCGAACAGG